rnacentral:rRNA from 1 species
AACGAACGCUGGCGGCAUGCCUAACACAUGCCAGUCGAACGAGACCUUCGGGUCUAGUGGCGCACGGGUGCGUAACGCGUGGGAACCUGCCCUUAGGUUCGGAAUAACUCCCCGAAAGGGGUGCUAAUACCGGAUAAUGUCUUCGGACCAAAGAUUUAUCGCCUUUGGAUGGGCCCGCGUUGGAUUAGCUAGUUGGUAGGGUAAAAGCCUACCAAGGCGACGAUCCAUAGCUGGUCUGAGAGGAUGAUCAGCCACACUGGGACUGAGACACGGCCCAGACUCCUACGGGAGGCAGCAGUGGGGAAUAUUGGACAAGGGGGGAAAGCCUGAUCCAGCAAUGCCGCGUGAGUGAUGAAGGCCUUAGGGUUGUGAAGCUCUUUUACCCGGGAUGAUAAUGACAGUACCGGGAGAAUAAGCUCCGGCUAACUCCGUG